ACCUCAGAAUGUCGUAAUGGACUUAGAAAAUAAAUUAAAAUGAAGAUGAAUGAACUAAUCCUUACGACAGGGCAAAAUAGGCUUAGAAAUCAAUCGUUUUGGUAUGUAUUAAAAGGUCCAAGCUCAAGUCAGCAUAUAUUGAUAAGUAUACGACAUAAGUACGGACGAAGGCGACAGAAAACUUCCGAGACGGUACAAAACCCAAGAGAGGGAGAGAAAAACAAAACAAAGGAAUAUCGACGGUACAGUCUUGACGUAAUAUUUUGCUCCGAUAUUACAAAAAAGAGAAAAAGAGAGAGAAAAUAUUGCGAGUAGGCUAUGAAGAAGGAAAAAAAAUAUUGAAAGUACAGAGUCUUGAUGUAAUAUUUUGUUCCGAUAUUACAAAAAAGAGAAAAAGAGAGAAAAUAUUGCGAAUAGGCUAUGAGGGAAGGAAAAGAAUAUUGACAGUAGAGUCUUGAUGUAAUAUUUUGCUCCGAUAUUACAAAAAAAUGAAAAAGAGAGAGAAAAUAUUGCGAGUAGGCUGAGGGAAGGAAAAAAAAUAUUGAAAGUACAGUCUUGACAUAAUAUUUUGCUCCGAUAUUACAAAAAAGAGAAAAAGAGAGAAAAUAUUGCGAGUAGGCUAUGAAGAAGGAAAAAAAAUAUUGAAAGUACAGUCUUGAUGUAAUAUUUUGCUCCGAUAUUACAAAAAAAUGAAAAAGAGAGAAAAUAUUGCGAGUAGGCUAUGAAGAAGGAAAAAAAAUAUUGAAAGUACAGAGUCUUGAUGUAAUAUUUUGUUCCGAUAUUACAAAAAAAUGAAAAAGAGAGAGAAAAUAUUGCGAGUAGGCUAUGAAGAAGGAAAAAAAAUAUUGAAAGUACAGAGUCUUGAUGUAAUAUUUUGCUCCGAUAUUACAAAAAAGAGAAAAAGAGAAAAUAUUGCGAGUAGGCUAUGAGGGAAGGAAAAGAAUAUUGACAGUAGAGUCUUGAUGUAAUAUUUUCCUCCGAUAUUACAAAAAAAUGAAAAAGAGAGAGAAAAUAUUGCGAAUAGGCUAUGAGGGAAGGAAAAGAAUAUUGACAGUAGAGUCUUGACGUAAUAUUUUCCUCCGAUAUUACAAAACAAGGGGAGAGAAAGUAUUAUUAAAAGUAGGCUAUUUCCGAAGGCUGCCAUGAUGAUAUUACUCUUAGAUAUUGCAAACGGAAGGAGAAAAGUAAUAUCGGAAGUACGAAUUGAAGCGGAAAAGUAAUAUUGAUAGUUUGAAAUAUUCCUGAUCUUACGUAAUGAGGGAAAAAGUAUUAUCGAAAGUUCGGUAGAAGGAGACUUUGAUGCGAUAUUACUCUGAGAUAUUACAAAAUGAAAAGAAGGAAAUUAAUAUUGGAAGUUCGAAUUCUUGGUAAUAUUGCAAAACGUGGGAAGAAAUAUUAUCGAUAGCAGGCUAGAAUGAGAAGUUGGAGUCGAUAUUACUCCGAGAUAUUACAAAAUGAAAAGAGGGAAAGUAAUACUGAAAGUUCAAAUUCUUGGUAAUAUUGCAAAACGUAGGAAAAAGUAUUAUCGAAAGUUCGCUAAAAGGAGAAUUUGACGCAAUAUUACUCAGAGAUAUUACAUAAUGAAAAGAAGGAAAGUAAUAUUGAAAGUUCGAAUUCUUGGCAAUAUUGCAAAACGUAGGAAAAAGUAUUAUCGAAAGUUCGCUAGAAGGAGAAUUUGACGCAAUAUUACUCUGAGAUAUUACAAAAUGAAAAGAAGGAAAGUAAUAUUGAAAGUUCGAAUUCUAGGCAAUAUUGCAAAACGUAGGAAAAAGUAUUAUCGAAAGUUCGCUAGAAGGAGAAUUUGACGCAAUGUUACUCUGAGAUAUUACAAAAUGAAAAGAAGGAAAGUAAUAUUGAAAGUUCGAAUUCUAGGCAAUAUUGCAAAACGUAGGAAAAAGUAUUAUCGAAAGUUCGCUAGAAGGAGAAUUUGACGCAAUAUUACUCCGAGAUAUUACAUAAUGAAAAGAGGGAAAGUAAUAUUGGAAGUUCAAAUUCUUGGUAAUAUUGCAAAACGUAAGGAAAAAGCAUUAGCAAAAGUUCACUAGGAGGAGAAUUUGAUGUGAUAUUACUCCAAGAUAUUACAAACCGGAGUAGGAAAAAUAUUAUAGAUAGUACAAAUGAAUUCUCGAUGCAAUAUUAACUCGGAUAUUACAAAAUGAAGGAAAAAGUAAUAUCGACAGUAGGCUAGAAUGGAAGUUUGACUCGAUAUUACUCUGAAAUAUUACAAACCGGAGGAGGAAAAAUAUUAUUGAUAGAACAAAUGAAUUCUCGAUGCAAUAUUAACUCGGAUAUUACAAAACGGAGGAAAAAGUAAUAUCGACAGAAGGCUAGAAUGAAAGUUUGACUCGAUAUUACUCUGAAAUAUUACAAACCGGAGGAGGAAAAAUAAUAUCGACAGUAGAAAUAGUUACGAUAAUAUUACUCUGAUAUUACAAAGGAAAUAUAUCUAGAAAAGGCGCUAUAUAAUAAGGCUGCCAUGAUGAUAUUACUCUGAUAUUACUCUGCUAUUACCAAAUGAAGAAGGAAAUAUUAACAGUAGACUAAAAGAAUGAUAGUUUCCCGUGAUAUUACUUGAAGAUAUUACAAAACAAAGAGGAAAUAUUAAUAAGUAC